rnacentral:rRNA from 1 species
GAUGAACGCUGGCGGCGUGCUUAACACAUGCAAGUCGAACGGGAUCCCAGGAGCUUGCUCCUGGGUGAGAGUGGCGAACGGGUGAGUAAUGCGUGACCGACCCGCCCCAUACACCGGAAUAGCUCCUGGAAACGGGUGGUAAUGCCGGAUGCUCCAGUUGGAUGCAUGUCCUUCUGGGAAAGAUUCAUCGGUAUGGGAUGGGGUCGCGUCCUAUCAGCUUGAUGGCGGGGUAACGGCCCACCAUGGCUUCGACGGGUAGCCGGCCUGAGAGGGCGACCGGCCACAUUGGGACUGAGAUACGGCCCAGACUCCUACGGGAGGCAGCAGUGGGGAAUAUUGCACAAUGGGCGCAAGCCUGAUGCAGCGACGCCGCGUGCGGGAUGACGGCCUUCGGGUUGUAAACCGCUUUUGACUGGGAGCAAGCCCUUCGGGGUGAGUGUACCUUUCGAAUAAGCACCGGCUAA